rnacentral:rRNA from 1 species
UAGAGUUUGAUCCUGGCUCAGGACGAACGCUGGCGGCGUGCCUAAUACAUGCAAGUCGAACGAACUCUGGUAUUGAUUGGUGCUUGCAUCAUGAUUUACAUUUGAGUGAGUGGCGAACUGGUGAGUAACACGUGGGAAACCUGCCCAGAAGCGGGGGAUAACACCUGGAAACAGAUGCUAAUACCGCAUAACAACUUGGACCGCAUGGUCCGAGCUUGAAAGAUGGCUUCGGCUAUCACUUUUGGAUGGUCCCGCGGCGUAUUAGCUAGAUGGUGGGGUAACGGCUCACCAUGGCAAUGAUACGUAGCCGACCUGAGAGGGUAAUCGGCCACAUUGGGACUGAGACACGGCCCAAACUCCUACGGGAGGCAGCAGUAGGGAAUCUUCCACAAUGGACGAAAGUCUGAUGGAGCAACGCCGCGUGAGUGAAGAAGGGUUUCGGCUCGUAAAACUCUGUUGUUAAAGAAGAACAUAUCUGAGAGUAACUGUUCAGGUAUUGACGGUAUUUAACCAGAAAGCCACGGCUAACUACGUGCCAGCAGCCGCGGUAAUACGUAGGUGGCAAGCGUUGUCCGGAUUUAUUGGGCGUAAAGCGAGCGCAGGCGGUUUUUUAAGUCUGAUGUGAAAGCCUUCGGCUCAACCGAAGAAGUGCAUCGGAAACUGGGAAACUUGAGUGCAGAAGAGGACAGUGGAACUCCAUGUGUAGCGGUGAAAUGCGUAGAUAUAUGGAAGAACACCAGUGGCGAAGGCGGCUGUCUGGUCUGUAACUGACGCUGAGGCUCGAAAGUAUGGGUAGCAAACAGGAUUAGAUACCCUGGGUAGUCCAUACCGUAAACGAUGAAUGCUAAGUGUUGGAGGGUUUCCGCCCUUCAGUGCUGCAGCUAACGCAUUAAGCAUUCCGCCUGGGGAGUACGGCCGCAAGGCUGAAACUCAAAGGAAUUGACGGGGGCCCGCACAAGCGGUGGAGCAUGUGGUUUAAUUCGAAGCUACGCGAAGAACCUUACCAGGUCUUGACAUACUAUGCAAAUCUAAGAGAUUAGACGUUCCCUUCGGGGACAUGGAUACAGGUGGUGCAUGGUUGUCGUCAGCUCGUGUCGUGAGAUGUUGGGUUAAGUCCCGCAACGAGCGCAACCCUUAUUAUCAGUUGCCAGCAUUAAGUUGGGCACUCUGGUGAGACUGCCGGUGACAAACCGGAGGAAGGUGGGGAUGACGUCAAAUCAUCAUGCCCCUUAUGACCUGGGCUACACACGUGCUACAAUGGAUGGUACAACGAGUUGCGAACUCGCGAGAGUAAGCUAAUCUCUUAAAGCCAUUCUCAGUUCGGAUUGUAGGCUGCAACUCGCCUACAUGAAGUCGGAAUCGCUAGUAAUCGCGGAUCAGCAUGCCGCGGUGAAUACGUUCCCGGGCCUUGUACACACCGCCCGUCACACCAUGAGAGUUUGUAACACCCAAAGUCGGUGGGGUAACCUUUUAGGAACCAGCCGCCUAAGGUGGGACAGAUGAUUAGGGUGAAGUCGUAACAAGGUAACCAAUC